rnacentral:rRNA from 1 species
AUUGAACGCUGGCGGCAGGCCUAACACAUGCAAGUCGAGCGGAUGAAGGGAGCUUGCUCCUGGAUUCAGCGGCGGACGGGUGAGUAAUGCCUAGGAAUCUGCCUGGUAGUGGGGGAUAACGUCCGGAAACGGGCGCUAAUACCGCAUACGUCCUGAGGGAGAAAUUGGGGGAUCUUCGGACCUCACGCUAUCAGAUAAGCCUAGGUCGGAUUAGCUAGUUGGUGGGGUAAAGGCCUACCAAGGCGACGAUCCGUAACUGGUCUGAGAGGAUGAUCAGUCACACUGGAACUGAGACACGGUCCAGACUCCUACGGGAGGCAGCAGUGGGGAAUAUUGGACAAUGGGCGAAAGCCUGAUCCAGCCAUGCCGCGUGUGUGAAGAAGGUCUUCGGAUUGUAAAGCACUUUAAGUUGGGAGGAAGGGCAGUAAGUUAAUACCGUGCUGUUUUGACGUUACCAACAGAAUAAGCACCGGCUAACUUCGUG